ACCACCCGCAAUGCUGUCUCUUAGACUGCCUCUCUCCUCUCCCUCUGGAGAAGUUCCUUUGUCCUGAGUCGUGGCUCAGAGCCCUUAGCAGAGCAGGGUGGAGGAGGAUGGUGGGUCUGAGUGACAUCUGACAAUGUCUUUCCCAUCAGCUUGAAGACAGACAUCAACAAGCCACAAAGUAUGGCUUCUCCUCCGCCUGGGGCCCUUGCUUGUCUGCCGUGGGGCGUCAGCACUGAGAAAGUGUCUGUCUGCUCAGAGGAAUACACUGUACACACUGUGCAGCCUGAGGCCAUCCUGCCUGGCGUCCACCAUGAGGCCAGCGGUUUGUGAAGACUGUCGCUGCUGAGGCCUCUGUGUCCUGUGAGAGCCGAGGGAUUGAAGCAAGGGCUCAGCACAUUCUCUGCAUCGUGCUGGCAGCUGACCUCGAUGCACAGAGCAGUACUGGCAGCCCUUCUGAGACAUUCCCCUUAAGGGCUCUGGCUGACCUGGCUGAGCCCCUUGGGGAUGCACCACAGAACAAGGUGUUUACCCACCCCAUCCUUUCCUUCUGAUGGAAGAGGCCGCCCUUCUGCCCUUUCCAACUUAUCCAACACUCUGGCUCAACCCCCCUGUAUGUCACCCAGCUUCUCAAUCCUGUCCAGGUGACAGCCUCCCCCAGAACACGGAUGAUGUGUGAAGAUUAGCAGCUGGUGGCAUCAGGACACCAGCUGGCCCCGGAUUCAACAGACAGACAAAGCAGACCCAGAUUCAGUCCUGUGCACCUUGCCAUCUCCCAAGAUAUUAUGAGGGGCUUAGCCAGCCAGGAAGGAAUGUGCCGCGGUCAGCACAAAACCAGGACGGUCGGUCUGUAGGAAUUCUGCUGAGCUGGGGGAACUGGACUUCAGGACCAUUUACAAAAUGCAGAAGGGGCCAGGCAGGCUUGGCAGCAUCUGGUCUGGCAGCCGGGGUGACUUCCAUGCCACUGGGGUGACCAUGUAUUGGGACCACACAUGCGCUCCGGUUCACUGGUGGGCUUGGGCUCAGGAGCGGCUGCCAUGGUGCUGGCAUCAUCCCUGGCAGGAAGCCUGGUGGCUGCUCUACCUGGUGAGGUCCUGAGGACUGCAGCUCACAGGGAGACUGGAGACAAAACAAGCCAAAGAUGGCUUCCCUGGCCCGUGACGCUUCUGAAGGGCAGGCUCAUCUUGGUGAUACCUCUAUCUCUGUAUCUCUGGGUUCCCCUCGGGCCGCAUGUGGCAAUUCUUGACCAUUAGUGCUGGCUGAUGAGGUGACUAGAGGAACAGAGAGGAGAAAGGGGAGAGAAAGAGGGAAGAAGGAAGAGGAGGAAUGAUGGAUGGAGGGUGGGAUGCAGAGAAGGCUGCUCCUCUCUCCCUUGUGAACUCACCUACUGCCCUGAAUGUCCCCUCCUGACUCGGCAAGCACUGAGGAGUCCCCAUGGGUGGA